GAUAGUAUGUGGAGAAACUUAUUGAUUGUUGUAUGUUUUCGAAUAUCAGAGUCGGAUACUGAAGCAUGCUGGUGAUUUGGCUGCUGCUGCUGCAUUUGCAGAUGAAGCUAGGUGUAUGGAUCUUGCUGAUCGUCAUGUUAAUAGUGAAUGCAUUAAGCGCAUGCUGAAGGCUGAUCAGGUGUCUUUGGCAGAAAAAACUGCAGUGUUGUUCACAAAAGAUGGUGAUCAACACAACAACCUUCAUGACAUGCAGUGCGUGUGGUAUGAGCUUGCCUC